rnacentral:rRNA from 1 species
UACGUAGGGGGCUAGCGUUGUCCGGAUUUAUUGGGCGUAAAGAGCGUGUAGGCGGCCAUGUGGGUCCGGUGUGAAAACUCGAGGCUUAACCUCGAGAUGUCAUCGGAAACCAUUUGGCUAGAGUCCGGAAGAGGAGAGUGGAAUUCCUGGUGUAGCGGUGAAAUGCGCAGAUAUCAGGAAGAACACCAAUGGCGAAAGCAGCUCUCUGGGACGGUACUGACGCUGAGACGCGAAAGCGUGGGGAGCGAACAGG